UCUUGAUGCAGGCUGAGGGCUUGCUCCUCUCGCUAUUGCCCGGUGGGGGCUCGUUCCUCGCUGUGGCCCUGCCCAGAGUGAGCUUGCUUACCGCCGCCUCCCAGGGCACUGAGUGACUGCACGCAGGCCUGCAGCUGUCCGGUGUCCAGCUGUUGAACUCCCCCUCUCUGUGUUCUCACAUUGCAGCUCACGCCAACGCCCAACACCUCAGCUACCUCAUCCGCAAGAUGGAGACAGUGACGGCUUCCACCUCACCUGUGGGUUUGUCGGGUCGACUUGACUUCAUACAAGCCACAUACUCCACACUGCCGGACACCUGGCGAAGGCCCAAGGAAUGUCAGUCAGCUUUAGUAAUUUCUAGAGUAAUUUAGUGAGCCUCUUUAUAUGAGGAGACCACCAUCUCAGAAGAAAUGGAGGGAAGCGUGCCUGCCCUCCUACACAUAGUCCCAGAGCCAUCAGGAUGCAGAUGAGAAUGGCUGACAUUGUCCCAGGACUGAGGGAAAACAGACUCGGCUGCAUCAUUCUAACCCAAAUCACUUGAAAGAUCAGUGCUUUGUUGUGAGCCAAGAAUUGCAUUGCCAGCUUCUCCCAGAUGAUUCUGACCCAGGAGGUUGUCUAGACAGUGGGCCAAAGCCAUGGUGGCAAUGGUCCAGGAGGAGACAGUGGGGCUUCACAUCCAGGAUACAUCCCGGGAUGUCAUGCUGCACACCUGUCUCCUCCAAUCUGUGACCUUGCCCAGUCUUUCCUUAUAUUUCAAGAUGUGGAGUACCACACAGAGUGGCAGAAGUGGGAGCAGAGCUUGCGUUGGGACAGAGAGCACUCUGGUCAAGCUUUGCACGCAGGGCAAAGGACAGUCUUCCCUGGAGGAGCCCCCCAGGUCACACAGGAGUCUUCAUUAACGGGACAUCAUGCCGUGUGGACACUGCAGCCAGACAUGUCAGCCCGGCUGCACCGGUGCCCCAAGGGCUGCAGACUCUGCUGUGCUCCCUAAGAUGAGUCACUGGGUCUUAGGUCCCAGUUCCCCACCUGUGAAGAUGACCUUCUCUGCAAAUAAGGUCUUUGGGGGAAGAGAUCAAGUGAAGACAAAUCCACACUAGAGGAAAGUGUGUCCUUGUAAGAUGAAUGAAAUCUGGGGCCGAGAUGGCAGCUGUACCUUCAAGCCAAGGCAUGCCAAGGAUUGCUGACAGCCACCAGAAGCUGGGAGAAACUGGAUAGAAUCCUCCCUAGAGCCUGCAGGGAGAGCCAGGCCUGGCAGAGGCCUUGACUGUAGUCUUGAAACCUCUGCAACCUCUGCUUUUCUAGGAUGUCCAGGUCAGAGCUUUUUGCUGCCCUGGUCUCAGGAAAUGAACGCAUCAGCAUCUGCAGCAGUUUCUGGCAGCCCCCAUCUAACAGCAUCCACUUAGAAUCCCGUAAUUGAGCAAGGGCCAAGGUCACUUCCAAGAUUAGCAAUAAAGGAUGGACUCUGGCUGUUUCCCUUGUCCUCUGGUUCCCCUUGCUCUCUCUAAGGAAACAAGCUGCCAUCUUGUCACCUGGCCAGUGGAGAGGCCCCCUGAGAUGAGGAGCAGUGGGUGGUCCUGGCCAGCUGCCUGAUCAGCUGAAGCCCUUGGGCGAUCCCCCCACAAGGAACUGAAUUCCAACAGGAAGCCUGUGCCUGAGCUGGGAAGCCCAGGCUUCCUCAGUUGGUCCCCAUAAAGACCACAACGUGGAAGACACCCUACUCUGACUGUUGCAUUGUGAAGACCUUGAGUCAGAAAAUCCCCCUGAGCUCUGACAGACACUUGAAGGCUGAACAAGGAAGGAUGCUCCGGGACAAGGAGGUUUUAGGUGUUUUUUGUUCUGCAGAAAUAGAUAGCAUGCCACGUACAUAACAGAGGCAGCUGGUAAUCACCUCAGGCACUGAUGCAGCCUUCACACAACUGUAGGAUUUUUUUUGUCCCAAGAGAGGCUGGAAAUUUCACUUAAAAAAAUUUUUUUUUGCAUUUAUGUAUUUUGUGUGUGUGAAAGAGAGAGUCUCUGCAUGUACCACAGUCUGCAUGUGGACGUCAGAGGAGAAGCAGGGUUGGUUCUCUCCUCUGCCAGGUCAGACAUGCUGCUAAAUGACCUGCAGGAAAGUACCACUCACUCCAAAUGUCCCCGUCCUUCUGUUGAGAAGCCCUGAGCAGGAAGGCAACACUUGUGUAAACAAACUACAAGUCUGCCUAGCGGACCUGGUGGGACCUCCAGGGCCCAGCCUCAUGGGCGGUUUUCCUGCUCAGAGACAAGGCUGACCUUCACCAUUCACCUUUCCUUCCCUUCCCCCAUCCUCUGUCCCAUCUCUCUCCUGCCUUGUAGGGUUAUCUUGGGCUUUCAAAUUCCUUUCAGGCAUAGAAUAUAAUAUUUCUCAGUUAUUACUCAAUAAUGUCUAAUAUUGAAACCACAAUUGCUCAUCCGUUCUAAAACUUCUUUACUCUACUCAGGUCUGACCUCUCUAGAAAGUUCUUCAGGUUGGUCCUCAGAUAGAGGAAGGGAUAUGCCAGCCAAGGUGCAGUGGGAAAGCAGAAACCAGGCCAGGGAUUCCUAACAGAAGGCUCUUGGUACAGAGGACCAAUUCAAUGGAUGCUAAUCAGACAGAAGGGCAGAAAGGAUGGUGACAGGGAAAAGUGAUUACAGGAAGUACCCAGGGUCUAGUAUGGGAAAGGAAGAAAGAAGUAGUUAAUUGGAUUCUGCAAGCUGGGGGAACUGCAGUCAUCUUGAGAGUUGGAAUUCGGUCCUAGUCUGCAGAAGAGGUGGGAGAUUGUUGACCUAGAACAGAGUUAACCUAGUCAAUAACAAAGAAACCUUACAUUUACUUGGGGCCAACAUUGGGACUACAUGGACAGAGCAGUCUUGAAGUCAUGCUCUAGGCUUUCAUAAUGGCUGCCGCACUUAUAUAGAGGCUUUCAAAAUGGCUGCCGCACUUGUAGAUCUAAACCCAAUGGGAACUGUGAUGAUGUCACUCAUUGGGGUGAUGAUGGGUGCUGGCAGAAGCUGAGCUGCUCUGUAACGGGGGGGGCGCUAUAGUGGGUGUCACGCAGCUUGAAAAGGGGUCUCCAGUGCAAAAGGUCAGCAGUGGCUGGUCACCUUUUAAGGUCAAUUGAAGCCAGAAGCGGUACAUGGACAGCCAAGCUUAAAGGUCUAGUCCUGAGGUGUCUGAGAUCUGAGAGACAUCCUCCUGGUGCCAUUUUGAGAUUUCCUCUUGACAAAUGGUGGCUCACCUCUCCUCCUGCCUUCUGAUCUGCCACCGGAGCCUCUCACCGUCAGAGCCUGAGAGGGCCACCUGGGGGAGCAGCUGGAGAAUGGUACUCACCACAGCCAGACCCACGUCACUGGGCAGUCUAGGGGCCAAUAGCAGGAGGCCCAGCUGCCCUUUCGUUAGCUGCCUCCCCGCUCCUCCGUACUCCAUCUCCACUGGAGUGGGGUUUACACAGGAAUAACUGAAGGGUCCCAAAGGGAAGAGCCCUGUAACAUGCAUCCCUCAUGGCUUUUCCGGGAUGCUUUGACUGCAGUUGGGCACAAAUUAUUGGUGUUCUGUACACUCUAUUGAACCUUCACACAUGUCCUAACUCUCCUUUAUGGCUUACUCAGAGACCUGCUCCUGGGGAGCCCUGAUUCCCCCACUUUCUGUCUUAACAGUCAGCCCCCUGGCUGGGCACCUCAGUGGUCCCUCAGCUCCUGAGACUUUCUAGUGCACAUCUUACAGGGACAUCCUGUUGGAUCCUUCUGUUCCAGCAUGCCUUGCUUUAGACAAGGUCCUUUCCACAAGGCUGUGGCUCAACCAUGUUCCAUGCCCCUCACUCUGCUCUGCCAAACCUCAGAAGGUCACAGGUCAGUUCAUUCCAAAGCAUCCUCUCCGUCAUUAGUCCUCACAGGCUUUUAGUCUUCAUAUCACAUCAGAGGAAAGCCAGGUGCCAUAUUUACAUAGCUACAUAUAUCAGUCAACAGUCCCUAAAGAUGUUUCUACCACACUAACAGCAUCAAGGAAAACACCACAGUACAGCAUCUGAAUGCCAGUGAAGAGUACAGAGAGAAUUACUCCACAUAAUUGCCUUCCAUGUUGGCUCAGUGGCUGGGCCAGUGUCUCUGUAAGUCUCUUGGACCUUUUCUCAUGUUGGCAACAUGGCUGCACCACCUCUGGUCCUCGAUGAAGAAGGAAAGCAGGUGCAGGAAGACGAGCCCCGCUCUACCCCUCCGUAACUUCAGCUUUCCCAAAGGGACUCUAGCAAACGUGGGCUGACACCUUGCAUAUUCAAGGGUACCUAGAGUAAACAAAAGCGCUGGAGAAUGUCCACUUCCAAGAGAGUGUCGCACGACCCCACUGACCUCAAACCAUUGCCGCUGUGGUCCGGGGGAUCAAACUCAGACCAUCAGGCUUGGCUACACCUUUCCCCGCUGAGCCGUCUCGCUGGCCCUGCCGUGACUUCCAGGUCUGAAUCCUUCACAAAGAUGACAGUCCACGCAGUCAGUCCUAUCCAAGCUGGUGAGGACACAGAGCUUAGAGAGCUCUCGUCAUAGAACUGCAGGAGAUACACUGUGGAAGUCAGCCUGUCAGCUUCCUACUAAGUUAAACAUGCUCUUACCAUGGGACGCAGCAGCUGUGCAUCCUGGCAUUUUUUCUUUUAAACACAAAUGAGGUCAAAACUAAUGCCCUGCAGAAGCCUACACAUGAGUAGUUCCAGGAGCUUUACUCAUUGCCCAGACUUGGAAGCCAGGAAGACUUCAAGAGGCUUGAAGGCCAAGAGGAACGAGCCAGAACAAUUUCCACACAGAACAAGAGACUUCUGGGAGAAAGGGGGACUAAGACUCCACCCCUCACCUUUAUCUCCUGCUUUGGUGCACGGACCCAUCACAGAGUACACUGAAGCGUGGGGCUUCCCCACAUUGAAAACGUCCAACUCGAGGGGCCUGAACUACCCGAGUUACCCACGCUGCAGACAAACUCGGACACCCCUUUCCUGGUGGGAGUGGUAGCUUCUGCCAUGCUCUGUGGGGCCACUGGAGUGGUGGAUUCCCUAUUUCUCUAGCUGAGAACCUGGGUCAAUCUCCCGGCAUUCUUAUCCGGAAGAAGAGCAACCACAUCUCAGCUCCCGAUUCACCUAGACUACUUGAUCUUCAGGGAAGAAUGAAAAACAGUCAAACAGUCAAACAGAGUCCUCACGCUUCCUCCAAAGGUGUGUGCCCGAGGGCCUGGGAGCCUCCCCUAGAAGUGCUGCCAGCUCUCAAUACCACCACCUUUAACCUUUGAGAUCCAUUCAUGCAGCCUACACUAACUGGGUCCUCUAUGGGGACUUUUUCAUCUUUUCAUUUUUAAGGCACUACUACUACUGACCACUGAGAGGAGGCAUGUUUUGCAACUGGUACCGGAGAAGUGAGUACUUGGUUGCUGUAUAAAUAUCCAUACACAUGGAUACCUUUAAAUACAUUUAUGAGUGUACACACACCCACCCCUGCACAUGCAGACACUGGUGGCCCUGUGAACUUAUUGUCUUGGAAGAAAAACUCUUGAGUACUCUCAGCUUUUCUUCUCACGUCUUGAAUUCUUGGAAAGGGGCUGCCCUGAGGGAUGGGGGUGGGGAGGA